rnacentral:tRNA from 1 species
GCAAGUGUGUCUCAGUGGUAGAGUAUCUGCUUGGCAUGCAGAAGUUCCCAAGUUCAGUCCCCAGCAUCUCUGUU